UGGGUAAGUCGGGGCCUAAGGCGAGGUCGAAAGACGUAGUCGAUGGAUAACAGGUUGAAAUUCCUGUACUAUGAUAUGACAGAACUGUGGGGACACGUGUGGAAAGCGGAAGCCGGGAAUGGAAAGACCGGUGCAAGCAAGGUAGGAGACUGGUUGGCAAAUCCGCCAGUCAAUCUGAAGAUGUGAUGCGUACUGAAAUAUAAGUAAGGAAGUCCGUGAGCCAUGCGUCAAGAAAAGCCGCUAUUGUUCAUAUCGUACCCGUACCGUAAACCGACACAGGUGGAUGAGGAGAGAAUCCUAAGGCCGACGGAAGAAGCAUUGUUAAGGAACUCGGCAAAAUGACCCCGUAACUUCGGGAGAAGGGGUGCCACAGAGAUGUGGCCGCAGAGAAUAGGCUCAAGCAACUGUUUAGCAAAAACACAGGUCUAUGCAAAACCGAAAGGUGAGGUAUAUGGGCUGACGCCUGCCCGGUGCUGGAAGGUUAAGGGGAGAGGUUAGCCGUAAGGCGAAGCUUUGAACUUAAGCCCCAGUAAACGGCGGCCGUAACUAUAACGGUCCUAAGGUAGCGAAAUUCCUUGUCGGGUAAGUUCCGACCCGCACGAAAGGCGUAAUGAUUUGGGCACUGUCUCAACAAUGCACCCGGUGAAAUUGAAAUACCAGUGAAGAUGCUGGUUACCUGCGCCAGGACGGAAAGACCCCAUGGAGCUUUACUCCAGCUUGAUACUGGGAUUCGAUAUUGCAUGUACAGGAUAGGUGGGAGACUUUGAACUGAUGACGCCAGUUGUCAGGGAGUCACUGUUGGGAUACCACCCUUGUAGUAUUGGAUUUCUAACCAGCAGCCGUGAACCGGCUGGGGGACAAUGUCAGGUGGGGAGUUUGACUGGGGCGGUCGCCUCCGAAAGGGUAUCGGAGGCGCUCAAAGGUUCCCUCAGAAUGGUUGGAAACCAUUCAAAGAGUGCAAAGGCAUAAGGGAGCUUGACUGCGAGACCGACGGGUCGAGCAGGUACGAAAGUAGGACUUAGUGAUCCGGUGGUAUGAAAGUGGGAUUGCCAUCGCUCAACGGAUAAAAGCUACCCUGGGGAUAACAGGCUUAUCACUCCCAAGAGUUCACAUCGACGGAGUGGUUUGGCACCUCGAUGUCGGCUCAUCGCAUCCUGGAGCUGUAGCAGGUUCCAAGGGUUGGGCUGUUCGCCCAUUAAAGCGGUACGCGAGCUGGGUUCAGAACGUCGUGAGACAGUUCGGUCCCUAUCCGGCGUGGGCGUAGGAUAUUUGAGAGGAGCUGUCCUUAGUACGAGAGGACCGGGAUGGACGGACCGCUGGUGUAUCUGUUAGGCGCCAAGCCUAUGGCAGAGUAGCCAAGUCUGGAAGGGAUAAACGCUGAAGGCAUCUAAGCGUGAAGCCCCCCUCAAGAUGAGAUAUCCCAUAACGUCAAGUUAGUAAGACCCCUUGAAGACGACGAGGUAGAUAGGGCAGAGGUGGAAGUGCGGUAACGCAUGGAGCUGACUGUUACUAAUAGGUCGAGGGCAUAACCAA
rnacentral:rRNA from 1 species